rnacentral:rRNA from 1 species
AGCAGCCGCGGUAAUUCCAGCUCCAAUAGCGUAUAUUAAAGUUGUUGCAGUUAAAAAGCUCGUAGUUGAAUUUCGGGAUCAAUAUAUUGGUCAUGCUUAGGUAUGUACUGGUAUUAUUGAUUUCUCCCUUCUGAAGAACCAUAAUGUCAUUAAUUUGAUGUCAUGGGGAAUCAGGACUGUUACUUUGAAAAAUUAGAGUGUUUAAAGCAGGCUUUCGCUUGAAUACAUUAGCAUGGAAUAAUGAAAUAGGACGUUUGAUUCUAUUUUGUUGGUUUCUAGGAUCGACGUAAUGAUUAAUAGGGAUAGUUGGGGGCAUUAGUAUUCAAUUGUCAGAGGUGAAAUUCUUGGAUUUAUUGAAGACUAACUACUGCGAAAGCAUUUGCCAAGGAUGUUUUCAUUAAUCAAGAACGAAAGUUAGGGGAUCGAAGACGGUCAGAUACCGUCGUAGUC